CAAACACUACAAAUAUCCUAACCCAACUAAACAAACCAUUUGACAAACCAAGUAGAUGUGAUCGAACAGUAACCCCCCCCCCAGUACCGCAAGGGAACUAGACCAAGCAAAAAACAGCAAAGACAAACCCUUGUACCUUUUGCAUCAUGGCUUAGCAAGAACCAAAGGACAAGAAGAAUCAAAGCCCAUACCCCCGAAACCAGAUGAGCUACUUCCAAGCAGCCCAUAGAGCAAACCCUUCUCUGUAGCAAAAGAGUGGGAAGACUUGAAAGUAGAAGUGAAACGCCUAUCGAAUCUGGAGAUAGCUGGCUACCCAAUAAAGGAAUCUAAGUUCCACUUUAGACCAUUAAACAUAAAAAAUUAUUAACUAAAGAAAAUCAAUAGGGGUACAGCUCUAUUGAAACAGGAUACAACCUGAAUUUGAGAAUAACCACCAACACCCUAACCAGUAGGCCCUAAAGCAGCCACCAAACAAAAUAUCGUUAAAGAAUUAACAUAAAAAUUCAAAAACCUAUCAAAAACUCCAAAAAAACUAAGGGUAAACCCAUACUAAUGGACUUAAUUAUGCUAAGACUAAUAAUAAGAAAAUCUCUCUACACGCGCCUCUCCUCUAGAAACGGAUUAACCACUAGCCAUUAACAGACCACAAUAGGCAGCCAACCAAACACAUUCCCACCCUGACACACACUGUGACCCCAACACAGGUGCGUAUUAAAGAAAGACUAAUCAUUAUAAAAGGAACUCGGCAACCAAAAACCCCAACUGUUUAACAAAAACAUAACCUUUAGCCAAACAAGUAUUAAAGGCAACGCCUGCCCAGUGAACAAUUCAACGGCCGCGGUACCCUAACCGUGCAAAGGUAGCAUAAUCAUUUGUCUAUUAACUGUAGACCUGUAUGAAUGGCAAAAUGAGGGUUUAACUGUCUCUUAUAAUAAGUCUAUUAAACUGAUCUCCUAGUAAAAAAGCUAGAAUAUUCCCAUAAGACCAGAAGACCCUGUGAAGCUUAAACUAAACUAUUAAACCCAAUAAUAACUACUUUCGGUUGGGGCGACCUUGGAAAUAAAAACAACUUCCAAUUUAUGUGAUGCACCACACCCACUAGGCCCACAAGCCAAUUAACGAUCCAGUACUACUGAUAAUAGAACAAAGUUACUCCAGGGAUAACAGCGCUAUCUUCUUCAAGAGCCCAUAUCAAAAAGAAGGUUUACGACCUCGAUGUUGGAUCAGGACAUCCUAAUGGUGCAGCCGCUAUUAAGGGUUCGUUUGUUCAACGAUUAAUGUCCUACGUGAUCUGAGUUCAGACCGGAGCAAUCCAGGUCGGUUUCUAUCUAUGAUUAACUUAUUCCCAGUACGAAAGGACCGGCAUAAGAAAGCCAAUGCUAAAAGCACGCCUUCAACACAACCACCAACCAAAUUAAACCACCACCUUCCCUCUUUUUAAACCAAGACAAGG
rnacentral:rRNA from 1 species